AGCGACCCAGAGAAGUAAGUGACGAAAUGCUUUGGGAAGUUAAAAAAUAAGCAUAGGUCCAGGAAGGCCCGAUAUAGAUUAACCUUUUGCACUACUGCUGAAUCCAUGGGUAGGCAAGAGACAACCUGGUGAACUGAAACAUCUUAAUAACCAGAGGAAAAGCAAGGAAUAACGAUCCUCAUAGUAGCGACGAGAGAAACGAGAGCAGCCUAAACCGUGCUUGUAGUCACUUGAAUUACUAUCAUUAUGAGGAGUAGAAAAUUCUUCCAUUAUAGGUGAAAGAUUUUGUUUUAUGAAAGACUUUUUGAAAGCAAUUUUUAAAAGUUAAGACUAAGUACU
rnacentral:ncRNA from 1 species